rnacentral:rRNA from 1 species
UACGGAGGGUGCGAGCGUUGUCCGGAAUCACUGGGCGUAAAGGGCGCGUAGGCGGCGCGGAUAGUCGGCGGUGAAAGCCCGGAGCUCAACUCCGGGUCGGCCGUCGAUACUUCCGGGCUUGAGCACUGUAGAGGCAGAUGGAAUUCCGGGUGUAGCGGGUGGAAUGCGUAGAGAUCCGGAAGAACACCGGUGGCGAAGGCGGUCUGCUGGGCAGUUGGCUGA